UGCGCAGGGUUCUGCCAGCUCUCCCAAAGCACUCCUGUCUCCAGGGGUAUUGGAGGGCAGGUGAGGGUGUUUGUACUGUCCUGCCCCAUCGUAGAGCAUGUGUUUAAAACCUUUGGAUACGUGCCUGCCCCGGGACCUUGUUUUCCUAAUCUGAAUAUAGUUGGACUACCACAUGGCCUCGAAACUGCUUCUAAUUCUUUAAAACCUAUGGUCUUUUAGGAAGCCUCUGGCAUUAAGCCGGGAGUAUAGUAACUGGAGAAGCCCCAGGGCUUCAGCAGGACACCUUCACUCCAUCACGGGAGAGGAGUCUCACAGGUGUAAGGUUGGAAAAAGCUCCCUGCUGGUGAAGCCCCUGGGGAAAGGGGAUGCUCAUCAAAUGCAUUCUGGGUGUCCAUGGGUAUGUGGCGGCACUCCCCACCCCCACCUUGACCCUGACUUCUUUUCCACCCCCUUGUGACCGGGCUUGGUAAGCCUCCCACAUGAUCCUUACAAAACUGGAGUUAAAACAACUAUGAUUCCCUAUUCUAGGUCAAAACCAGUGUCUUCUGAGGACUUGAGAGAGAACCCUCAACCUCAAAAGGAGUGCAAGGAGGUUCUUAGCUCCCGGACACCAUCCGUCAUUCUUAGCCAGAAGUCUGACUUCCAAGAAGAGUCCCAGCUGUUUGCCCAGCUGCACCUGGCUGAGAUGGAGAAGGUGUUUGAGGAGGACACUCACUCUCCUGCAGGAGGAGGACUCUGUCUCACCUCUCACGCCGCCAUUUUUUUAGCUGGUGGUCCAGAUGUUUCUUGAUUCUGUCCAGCCUCACCAGUGGAACCGUUCAAGUAAACAAAGGCUCCUCGGGGCUUUGAUCCUGUACCAAUGGAAAAAGACCUCAUCAGCGCGCGGCUUCUACCAGAAAGUGCUUCUCUGUGAGCCCUAAGCUGUGGAGGGCCAGGCCAACAGAACACUGGGUGCUUCAACAGGACUUCCCAGGCUGAGUUCCUUGGGAGGCAGGAGGCCCAGGAAGAUAUUUUUACCUGGCUUUCCUGUGGUUUGGGAAAAGUUCUGCCAGAAACGGCUAGUCUCGGAGCUCUGCUGCUUACCUGCAGAUCUUGGUCGUGGGUGACUGCCAGCGAAGUCAGAUCUUUCUCGUGCUUCUGAUCCUGUUCUUUCCCAGAGGGGAAGGGACUCCACCCUGAUAGGCAGGAAACUAGAUGUGAGUGGGAUGGAAAGAGAAUAAGGCCAGAAAAAAGCCCAUUAAAGGAGACCCAGAGUUAAUCAGUUGAAGCUCAGAAAAGCCAUGGAGCAGUUUGGCCUGGAAUGUGUGAAUAUUCCCCAGAGAGAGGAGGGUACCUCAGCAGAGCCCAUGGCUUUAUUGUGUUAAUCAUACAGGCCCAGCUUAUUUUUUUAACUUUACCUAUAUACUGUUUUUCCCUAAUCAAGUAGUUUGCAAUCUGUCCAAUUAAUAAUGACAAGCAAGCCCAGCAUAAACAACACAGUAACAGGCAGGAAGGAUUCCAUCUUAAAAAUAAGAUUGGGUUUUAACAGCCAGGACAUUAAGAAGAUUCUUAACUUACACUUUAGCAAACAGACAAUAACUCAGCCCACCUUGGGGGCCGGGCAGGCAGUCUUGAUACACUCCCAGGCCAAGAAAUGCCGGGCUCCCAGGGAGAAAUCAGAGCAGGAAGUUCCCUGUGCUACAUUAGUUCUAAGUAUUGAAAGACCACCUAACAGGUCUGCACCCCCAGCCCAUAGUCACAUUCCUGAAGGAUCCUUAAAAGGGGGAACCCCCAACCUUUCAGGGCACUCCUCUCCUUGAAGUCGCCCGCACUUUCUAAGUGCAUGACUUUUUCACUGUAAACUCUCUCUUUUGAACCUUGCAGGGUGCUGCGCUCUCUCUGAGGUCACCUGCUCUUUUUCUCUAAGUAACGUUAAAUAAAUCUUUUCCUCUGUUUCA